CCGACAAAAAUGCCCAAUCUGGAGAAAUUAUGAAAAAUAAAAAGAAAAAAGUGGUAGCGACUGUGAUGGCAGCCCAACCUUCGGAGAAUGUUCUGACCUAUCAAACCUUUGCUCUGUCUCCUCCACCUUACCCACAAACUCCAACACCGUACUCAACAUCCCCCUGCCCACUACAAAUACCAUACCAAGAUCCACUAUACCAAACACCUACUCAUUACCAAGUGCACCCAC
rnacentral:lncRNA from 1 species